GAUGAAGAACGUAGCGAAAUGCGAUAAGUAAUGUGAAUUGCAGAGUUCAGUGAAUCAUCGAAUCUUUGAACGCACAUUGCGCCCCCUGGCAUUCCGGGGGGCAUGCCUGUUCGAGCGUCAUUACAACCCUCAAGCUCUGCUUGGUAUUGGGCUCUGCUGGGACCGGCAGGCCUUAAAAUCAGUGGCGGCGCCACUCGGCUUCAAGCGUAGUAAUUCUUCUCGCUUCGGAGACCCGGGUGCGUGCUAGCCAGCAACCCCCAACUUUCUUAGGUUGACCUCGGAUCAGGUAGGGAUACCCGCUGAACUUAAGCAUAUCAAUAAGCGGAGGA
rnacentral:misc_RNA from 1 species